rnacentral:lncRNA from 1 species
AGAAUAUUAUUAUCUGGUGAACUUCAUUCAUUCCAUCCAGUUAUAUCAAGUGUAUGUAUAUAAGAUUUUAUAAAAAUGUGCUUAUGUACUGUUUUAACAAACACAGCAAGUUAGAGAGGGAACUGAUGCUUGUCUACUAGGCUAGCGAACCACUUAAAUAUAGAAAACUAAUUUGACUAGACUUAGAAGAAAACUAGGAAAUUGAAAUGAUAACUUUUCCACACAGGAAUCCUAAUUUCAGCGUUGCUCACAAAACUAAUAAUCCUGUAAACCACUGGAGGCAACUUUCAUUUUUCUAGCUUCGUGUUUCUCUUAGACAUCAGGAUGCUUAAUAUAAGAAAGGAACUGAAAAAUAUUUCCUCUUUCUGUUUUUAUUAUUGCAUAUGUGUAAGUAUGAUGUAUGUGGAUGCUCAUGAAGAUCCAAGCACUGGAGUGGCUUCUCAUUCCCCCAUCAUCAUACCCUGGGUAUCAAAUUCAGGUCAUUAGGCUCGGUGUCAUUUUCUGAUUUUCAUUUAAACUCAGAUUAUACUACUAAAGAGUAACAAAAGGAGGCUAAUGAGGUUGUUCUAAUUACAGCCUACUAACGAAAGCCGGGCAUUUCUUUUCCUAUGAAAACAAUUUUAGUGUUUUUCAAGUGUUCUAAAAUCAAAUUAUUGGAGCUAGAGCAAGAGCUCAAUGGUUAAUCUCCAUGAUUUGCUGAUCAAUCAUGAGUGGUGAUGACUCCAGAAUCCAUGUCAGAUGACUCAUGAACACCUGUAACUUAGCCAGCAUCAGGGGAUUCACCACCUUUUCCUGGACCCUGUCAGUACAUAUACAUACAUAUUCAGAGACAUGCACAUAUACAUACACACAAAUCUUUUUUAAAAAUCUCAGUAACAAAACUAAUAUUAUUGCAUUUUAUAUAACUUUUUUUUUUCUUUUUCAAGACAGGGUUUCUCUGUGUAGCCCUGAUUGUCCUGUCUCACUCUGCAGACCAGGCUCACCUCAAAGAAACCUGCCUCUGCCUCUUGAGUGUUGGGAUUAAAGGCUUGUUGUGCUACCACUGCACGCCCUAUUAAUUUUUUCCUAAAGCUUGCAUCAGCACAAAGACUAUAUACAUAUGUACAAUCAAGAUGUAGAACAUACUUCUAAGACUAUGUGAUAACCAAAGUACUUUAAAGCUACUAUUCAAAGGUAAUAUGUAAAACAGAUAAUAGAAAUUUGUCCCUAAAAUCUUAUCUCUGCAAACUUGUGGUUUCCCAAAUUGGUCUCUAGUAGUAAACAUGCCAUACUCACCGUUAUGUCAUCUGUUAGUAUUAAAUAGCAGAGAUACUAUGUUUCCUGCUGCCCAUUGAUCCAGAUUCUACUACAUUGAAUAUAUGCAGGAAAGGUUUCUCUUAAAAUAUUGUUGGGAUCUUUUUACUGUAGGUUUGUUACCUAAAUCUACCUUAAUAGUAAAUAUUUUUUGCGCAGUACUGGUGGUACUUGGUUGGCCUGUGGCAUGGGUCAUGCAGCAAGAGUUAUCUUUACACCUAAGUCACCUCAGCAAGAAAUAAGCUUUGAGGAAUUUUAGCCAGACCUGAGUGAGGAUGCUUGUAUUUACUUUUAAAAGUCACAAGAUAUAAUUCUAUCUAUAAUCCAUAAUAGGUCUUACAAUUUUAUUAAUUUAUGUAUCAAGGUUAGAGGAAUCACUGAAGAAUAUGAAAGCACAACUGUUAGAAUUGCUAUAAAAGUACCCCAGUCAACAGAGAACAAUAGAAAUAUUUAUCCUGUAACCAGAUACGGUUCCCUGAGAAGCUGGAUCCUAAUAAGGCUGCUGAUAUUUAUAAUUUCUCCUAGGAGUAGAGUUACAAAGUCAGUCAUUUCUCCCAUCUUAAAGGAGAAAAGGUAAGUACAGGCAAAAGGAGCUGUUCUAGUUAGGAUCUUAAUACUCUCAAUCAAGUAUCAGUUCCUAUGGACUUGUGUCUUUGAUUUCUCUUACCUUUGUGAAUUGCUAAUUCCAAUAUUUACGAGGUGACCUGUAUUACUAGUCAAGUAUUGGCAUUGCCUGUGGCACUGCUGUUUGUUCUCAUAUCUACUCAUACAAAGUCUCUGGGCAUCUAAAUCCUCCACGACUGUCAGUUGUAGCCUAGAUCACUAUGUUGGACUCCACUAGUCCCUAUUUUCUCCCCUAUAGAAAGACCACAACUGUCUCAUACUUACUAAAUUGAGUGUGUUAUUUUCAUUCCUACCACAACCCUUUCACUCCCAUACCUUCUAAAAGCAUUCUCUUAUGUUAUCUAGCAAUUUAGGUCAAAACCAGAAACAGUGCUCUGCUUCAGCCUGUGUUGAGAUUACAGGUGUGAACCAUGAUACCUAGCUUGUAUGAAGGAUGUUAAGUGUAAUCAUGUUGAAUUGUUUAAUGAACCUGAAUUAAAAAAUUC